UGCCAAGGCUGUUGGUGGAGAACUGAGAGCAGAGAGAGAUCUUUGCAGUUUUCCCAGCUUUUAUCUUGGUUUUCAGCAGGUACCCAGGGACCAGCGUGCUUAUCACCAGUGCCAGCAAUGGCAUUCCAGUGCUCACACAAGACUUGGCAUAUUCAGGGACAACAGGCCCAGUGGGAGUGUGCCAGCUGGGAGAUGUUGUGUCUGGGCCACUGACAGCCUAAAGGGAACAUGCAAAACCAUAAAAGAGGUGCCUUUUUUCAAAUCUACUACUCUUCUAAUAAUCUCUUAUGUGCAUCAUUUAAGCACUAAGAUGCCUGUUCAGGAACCUCUCAGCAAAUCCUACAGAACCAAGGAAUAACACAGUGGAGAGUCCAAAAGUCUCUUGAAAAAUAAGUAAAAAGCAGCAGCCAAUCAACCUAAAGGCUGAUGAUAGAUUUAAACAAAAGAAAGGGUAAAACACUGGGGGGGUUUGACAACCACAUAAGAUACUUUUUACU